rnacentral:sRNA from 12 species
AGGGCUGGUCGAGAGACCCAGGUCCAUCGAGGGCGGGGAAGUCCCCC